rnacentral:rRNA from 1 species
GAGCUUGCUCUCGGGUGACGAGCGGCGGACGGGUGAGUAAUGUCUGGGAAACUGCCUGAUGGAGGGGGAUAACUACUGGAAACGGUAGCUAAUACCGCAUAACGUCGCAAGACCAAAGUGGGGGACCUUCGGGCCUCAUGCCAUCAGAUGUGCCCAGAUGGGAUUAGCUAGUAGGUGGGGUAACGGCUCACCUAGGCGACGAUCCCUAGCUGGUCUGAGAGGAUGACCAGCCACACUGGAACUGAGACACGGUCCAGACUCCUACGGGAGGCAGCAGUGGGGAAUAUUGCACAAUGGGCGCAAGCCUGAUGCAGCCAUGCCGCGUGUGUGAAGAAGGCCUUCGGGUUGUAAAGCACUUUCAGCGGGGAGGAAGGCGGUGAGGUUAAUAACCUUGUCGAUUGACGUUACCCGCAGAAGAAGCACCGGCUAACUCCGUGCCAGCAGCCGCGGUAAUACGGAGGGUGCAAGCGUUAAUCGGAAUUACUGGGCGUAAAGCGCACGCAGGCGGUCUGUCAAGUCGGAUGUGAAAUCCCCGGGCUCAACCUGGGAACUGCAUUCGAAACUGGCAGGCU